rnacentral:rRNA from 1 species
GAUCCUGGCUCAGGAUGAACGCUAGCGGCAGGCCUAACACAUGCAAGUCGAGGGGUAGAAGGAGCUUGCUCCUUUGAGACCGGCGCACGGGUGCGUAACGCGUAUGCAAUCUACCUUGUACAGGGGAAUAGCCCAGAGAAAUUUGGAUUAAUGCCCCAUAGUAUAUAACCUUCGCAUGUUGGUUAUAUUAAAGUUCCAAUGGUACAAGAUGAGCAUGCGUCCCAUUAGUUAGUUGGUAAGGUAACGGCUUACCAAGACGAUGAUGGGUAGGGGUCCUGAGAGGGAGAUCCCCCACACUGGUACUGAGACACGGACCAGACUCCUACGGGAGGCAGCAGUGAGGAAUAUUGGUCAAUGGGCGCAAGCCUGAACCAGCCAUGCCGCGUGCAGGAAGACGGUCCUAUGGAUUGUAAACUGCUUUUAUACAGGAAGAAACAACUCUACGUGUAGAGUCUUGACGGUACUGUAGGAAUAAGGAUCGGCUAACUCCGUG